rnacentral:rRNA from 1 species
CCUACGGGCGGCUGCAGUGGGGAAUAUUGCACAAUGGGCGCAAGCCUGAUGCAGCCAUGCCGCGUGUGUGAAGAAGGCCCUCGGGUUGUAAAGCACUUUCAGCGGGGAGGAAGGCGGUGAGGUUAAUAACCUCAUCGAUUGACGUUACCCGCAGAAGAAGCACCGGCUAACUCCGUGCCAGCAGCCGCGGUAAUACGGAGGGUGCAAGCGUUAAUCGGAAUUACUGGGCGUAAAGCGCACGCAGGCGGUCUGUCAAGUCGGAUGUGAAAUCCCCGGGCUCAACCUGGGAACUGCAUUCGAAACUGGCAGGCUAGAGUCUUGUAGAGGGGGGUAGAAUUCCAGGUGUAGCGGUGAAAUGCGUAGAGAUCUGGAGGAAUACCGGUGGCGAAGGCGGCCCCCUGGACAAAGACUGACGCUCAGGUGCGAAAGCGUGGGGAGCAAACAGGAUUAGAUACCCGUGUAGUC